UACGUAGGGGGCUAGCGUUGUCCGGAAUCAUUGGGCGUAAAGCGCGCGUAGGCGGCCCGGUAAGUCCGCUGUAAAAGUCAAAGGCUCAACCUUUGAAUGUCAGUGGAUACUGCCGGGCUAGAGUCCGGAAGAGGCGAGUGGAACUCCUGGUGUAGCGGUGGAAUGCGCAGAUAUCAGGAAGAACAUCGGUGGCGAAGGCGGCCUGCUGGGCAGUAGCUGACGCUGAGGCGCGACAGCGUGGGGAGCAAACAGG
rnacentral:rRNA from 1 species